GGAAAAUAUUAAUGCCCCAAGCCCGAAGCUCCUUUCAUACUCACACACGUACGUUCAGACUGGCCACUUCUGUGUAUAAUGUUCAGAGGAGGGGGAGAGGUGGAAGGGAGAUUAUCCUGUAUACAGCUUGUCCAGAAUUUCCAACAUGCUUCUGCUCUUGGGAGGGCUGUUCUUUUACACCCUGGAAUCUCCUGCGGCGUCUCUUUCAGAGAUUCCAGUCCAGGUCGGCUGCCUGUGGCUUCUUUGGUGUCACCAAGCCACACCGACUCCAGGGUCACAAAGGCACACUGUUGGAUCUUACUGGACAGUUAAGCUUUGAAAAUGUAAUUUCAGUUCUGUAACUUGUAUUUCCUUUGCUUCGCCUCUGUCUAUAUUUUUUCCUUCACAGCCAGCUGGGGCCGAAAGCAGCCCCUCCCUGCACCAAGCACAGUCCGCGCCGAUUCCUGACCCUGAACGCAGAGCAACCCCCUCCUUCCAUCCCGGGGCCAAGAUGAUUUUUAAAUUAACCUGUUCCUUAUGUCUUUUUCUUUCUUUUUCUCUUUCCCAUUAAACAUUCUAGUAGCAA